UUUCAGGAAUUAAAACCCUAGGUUAUUUAGGUAAAUAGAAAUUAAGUCAAAAGCUUCUAGAAUUCGGGAAACAAAUUAGAAAUUUAAAGGAAAUAAGCUAAAAGGUGUAGCAUGGGAUUAAAACACAAAAGGAAUGCGUUUUAAUUAAGAAAAUAGGAAAGAAUCACUCUCCCUUGCACGGCAAGGAAGAGUAAAGGUCAGAAAUCCCUCACAAGGUGUGGCAUGGGUUUUAGGGAAGGUUAGAUGUCCUAAAACUGAAGGGGAAGUAGAUCCCUUGCACGAUAAGGAAGGUGGAAUAUGGGGUAAGUGCGGCAAAGGUCCCUAAGGGUUCUAGGGCCUUUGUUUUGUGUCCUCAAGUGCAUAUGAAGUCCUCAAAGUGGCUGGAACAUAAGUAUUUUUAGAAUUAGGAAAGGUCAAACCAAAAUAGGAAACCUUGGCUUAACUUUCCUACUUCAAGUAGGAAUCCUUGUUGGAGUAGGAAUCCUUGUUCUUCUAGGAAUCCUCAUGUGAUUAGGAAUCCAUCUUCAAUUAGGAAUCCUUCAUUGAUUAGGAAUCCUUCGUUGAUUAGGAAACCUAAUUUCUUCAAGUCUUCAAUUCAUCCAUUCCUUUUGCUCCAAAAGGCUCUAAAUUACAUCAUUUUGCACACUUGGCCUUAGAAUUUGAAAACACACAAAAGUGACUUUAAACACUAAAAUAACUAAAGAAACACAACGUAAAAGCACGAGAACAAGCCAAUUAAGUCGCAUAAAUAUGCUCCUAUCAGACGAUGUCAACCCUUUAGUCGACUCAUGAACAAAGACGCUCCAAUUCAUAUCAGAUGACGCCUGCCGCAAUGCCUUCGUGAGCAUAAAACAGUACCUGGCAAGCGCAACUGUCUUAAGAGCACCCGUGCCUGGAAAUUCGCUCAUCCUAUACAUUUGACACAUGAACAUUCCAUUGGAGCACUCUUGGCACAAGAAAAUGAAGACCAAAAGGAAAGGGCACUCUACUACCUAAGUAAAA
rnacentral:lncRNA from 1 species